rnacentral:rRNA from 1 species
GGUUAAGCGACUAAGCGUACACGGUGGAUGCCCUGGCAGUCAGAGGCGAUGAAGGACGUGCUAAUCUGCGAUAAGCGUCGGUAAGGUGAUAUGAACCGUUAUAACCGGCGAUUUCCGAAUGGGGAAACCCAGUGUGAUUCGUCACACUAUCAUUAACUGAAUCCAUAGGUUAAUGAGGCGAACCGGGGGAACUGAAACAUCUAAGUACCCCGAGGAAAAGAAAUCAACCGAGAUUCCCCCAGUAGCGGCGAGCGAACGGGGAGCAGCCCAGAGCCUGAAUCAGUGUGUGUGUUAGUGGAAGCGUCUGGAAAGGCGCGCGAUACAGGGUGACAGCCCCGUACACAAAAAUGCACAUGCUGUGAGCUCGAUGAGUAGGGCGGGACACGUGGUAUCCUGUCUGAAUAUGGGGGGACCAUCCUCCAAGGCUAAAUACUCCUGACUGACCGAUAGUGAACCAGUACCGUGAGGGAAAGGCGAAAAGAACCCCGGCGAGGGGAGUGAAAAAGAACCUGAAACCGUGUACGUACAAGCAGUGGGAGCACAGAGCAAUCUGUGUGACUGCGUACCUUUUGUAUAAUGGGUCAGCGACUUAUAUUCUGUAGCAAGGUUAACCGAAUAGGGGAGCCGAAGGGAAACCGAGUCUUAACUGGGCGUUAAGUUGCAGGGUAUAGACCCGAAACCCGGUGAUCUAGCCAUGGGCAGGUUGAAGGUUGGGUAACACUAACUGGAGGACCGAACCGACUAAUGUUGAAAAAUUAGCGGAUGACUUGUGGCUGGGGGUGAAAGGCCAAUCAAACCGGGAGAUAGCUGGUUCUCCCCGAAAGCUAUUUAGGUAGCGCCUCGUGAAUUCAUCUCCGGGGGUAGAGCACUGUUUCGGCAAGGGGGUCAUCCCGACUUACCAACCCGAUGCAAACUGCGAAUACCGGAGAAUGUUAUCACGGGAGACACACGGCGGGUGCUAACGUCCGUCGUGAAGAGGGAAACAACCCAGACCGCCAGCUAAGGUCCCAAAGUCAUGGUUAAGUGGGAAACGAUGUGGGAAGGCCCAGACAGCCAGGAUGUUGGCUUAGAAGCAGCCAUCAUUUAAAGAAAGCGUAAUAGCUCACUGGUCGAGUCGGCCUGCGCGGAAGAUGUAACGGGGCUAAACCAUG